UUUACCUCCUCGUUUCAUGCUCCAAUCUUGCAGGUUUUGAUUAUUCCACCUCCCUCUAUCUUCCCGUCACGUGUAAAUAAUCAGAACCAUCUCUCUCUCUUCUCAUCUUCUCCUUUCUUUCACCGUUUCAUUUGUCUUCUUCGUUCAUCUCUCUAUACUCCCUCUGGCUGGAAUGGGUUGUAUUUCUCUUCAUCUCCUUGCUUCUCUGCUUUGGUUUUUCCAUUUUCUCUUACCGCUUCAAUAUUAAAACAUGUGACAUUCCCUUGCUAUUUUUCUUCUGCUUUUCCAUCGGAAUUGGAACGGGAGUUAAUUAAGAAUGUUGACCGUGUUAUUGGAGCUUGGUGAGGGGACAUUCCACCCCAACAACAGAACCGAAUAUUCUGCCCCAGUGUGGAUGUCUCGACCCUUGCUUACUCCAAACAUAAACAAAGAUAUGAAGUCGUAUAUUUUAUUACUACUUCCACCGUUUUAAUAUAUAUUAUUGUCUAAAUACAUUUAUUUUCUUCCAUGUAGGGCCGAACUAAUCGAACAUACCUUUUGGUACUAGUUUGAGGUUUGUAAGUUUUUAGUUCGGGAUGCUUUUCGUUACUGUCUACUCUUUCUUGUACUUGUUGGGGAAUGUUUAAUUAUUGUCUACUCUUUCUUGUACUUGUUGGGGAACAUACCUUUAUGUAUUAUGAUUACAUAUUCUUUGACUUGUAUUGGACAUUU